UACGUAGGGUGCGAGCGUUAAUCGGAAUUACUGGGCGUAAAGCGUGCGCAGGCGGUUUUGUAAGCCAGAUGUGAAAUCCCCGGGCUCAACCUGGGAAUGGCAUUUGGGACUGCAAGGCUGGAGUUUGGCAGAGGAGACUGGAAUCCUGGUGUAGCAGUGAAAUGCGUAGAUAUCAGGAGGAAUACCGAUGGCGAAGGCAGGUCUCUGGGCUGAUAACUGACGCUCAUGCACGAAAGCGUGGGGAGCGA
rnacentral:rRNA from 1 species